AACUCUAUAAUAUGACAAUUUCCCGUCCUCUGAGAAAAUUUUCACGUUUUCCUUCCCAUCAUCCACGCAAGUUACGUAACGCAACAACAAAACAAGCAAUGCAUGGAAAAACAGAAAGGUAUCUCAUGUGUGAGAGAAUUUGCAUGUCAAUGUCAAACUUCUAAGAGCAACGCCGUAGGAAGGAACUUUUCGAGACGUAUUUAAGAUAAUUCACUGUAUAGCGAGUCAAGGGGUGAACUUAGCAACUGGGUACCGGGGUUCGACCAUGGUCACUCUAUUGCAGUUUCAAGUUCAGAAAAUAUGCUCACGACCAUUUCACCAAUCCGGGAUUGAGUAACACAUCUGCAAUUUUAAAUCUUGGACACUCUCACAAGAACACCACCAAUCUCCCAUAGAUGGAAGCAGGUCUCUAAAAGUCUCCUACAUAUCCAAAAAUUUGAACAAUUUCUGAAUUGAUCUCUUUGUUAAAACAACGCCUU